AGACAAACAUACACCCAUCUUGUGAUAUUACGAGAUUAAUGUCUUGCAUUAAUACAUGGUUCAAAGCAAGAGGCUGUAGCUCCCGACAGUGAUUGUGUUCCAGACAGCCAGUGAUGUUUGUCUCAGAAACUUUUUUGUGGUUUGUUCAUGUUACAUGGUUAUGCUUUUUCUAGACUAUUUUAGUUUUAAUUUGGGUUUGAUGUUUCAAAUGCUAUAAUCUGGACAUGUGGAAGAACCAAAAGUUGUUUUUCCCUAGGAUCUUUAGAACCUGUUUCAGUUUAGCAUCAAUGUAUCGUAAAUUAACCAUGCAGCAUAAGAUUGUAAAGGGAAAAGAAACUAACGCAUACACUUUGUACCCAAUGAAAGUUGUGCCACCAAGAUUUAAUUACGUAAUAUGCUUCUCCAUCUAUUUCUUAUUUUCUCUGCUAAGUUGUAGGUCAAACAAAUCUGCGGCAUUCUAUUUAUUGUUUACUUUUGAGGCCAAUCACAAGCGUGCCAUUGAGAUAGAAUAAGGAUUAGAAAUCCAGAAAUUCUGUAGAUAGAAUAAGGAUUAGAAAUAGGUCCAACCAUUCUUUUUCAUUGAAGGUAAUUCGAUGAUUCAGAACUCAUUAAAGGAUCUCAAUUAAGGCUGCUUUUACCUUGGAAACGUUUACCAGUUUUGGUUUAAUUGUC